rnacentral:rRNA from 1 species
GACUACAGGGGUAUCUAAUCCUGUUUGCUCCCCACGCUUUCGUGCAUGAGCGUCAGUGUUAUCCCAGGAGGCUGCCUUCGCCAUCGGUAUUCCUCCACAUCUCUACGCAUUUCACUGCUACACGUGGAAUUCUACCUCCCUCUGACACACUCUAGUCUCGCAGUCACAAAUGCACUUCCCAGGUUGAGCCCGGGGCUUUCACAUCUGUCUUACGAAACCGCCUGCGCACGCUUUACGCCCAGUAAUUCCGAUUAACGCUUGCACCCUACGUAUUACCGCGGCUGCUGGCACGUAGUUAGCCGGUGCUUAUUCUGCGGGUACCGUCAUUAGCGCUCUGUAUUAGAAAGCGCCGUUUCGUUCCCGCCAAAAGUGCUUUACAACCCGAAGGCCUUCGUCACACACGCGGCAUUGCUGGAUCAGGGUUUCCCCCAUUGUCCAAAAUUCCCCACUGCAGCCUCCCGUAGG